GUUCAUGUAGCUUAUAAUACUAAAGCAAGGCACUGAAAAUGCCUAGAUGAGUUUUCGAACUCCAUAAACA
rnacentral:tRNA from 1 species